rnacentral:tRNA from 1 species
CCCGGCGACGCGGUCAGCGUCGCCCGGACCUUCGCGGGGUCCGCCGUCAGCGCGGCGUUCAGCUUCGUCGUGUCGAGG